GGCGCGGGCUCUUCCUCUCCAACCCGGUGACGCGUCUUUUAAAAAUAGCUCCGGGCUCCGGAACCCCCGCCUCGGGCCGAGCACGCUGCUGGCCGGGCAAGGGCAGCGUCUGCAGAGGGCUAGGGCGGAGAGACUGCGGCAUUGGCGCGGGAGGGCGGAGGGGAGGGGCUGACCUCCUUGAGCCUGCAGCCUGCCACCCGGAUCUCAUUCCCACCGCGUGGUCUCACGCACCUGGGUGCCCUUACCGUGUCCUGAGCCCUAGUCCUUCUUGGUACACAGCUCCCUUUUCUGCCCUAACUUCAGGGGGCACCCGGGAGGCUCAACUGGGAGUACCACCCACCUGCUUAGACACCUCCUGACAAUUCUUUCUCUUGCCCCCAUCCCCGACUCUGCUGACAUCCCAGAUAAGGAUACUCCCAAGAUGCAGGACUGACUCAAGGCUGAGUGGUAGAGAUGCUCAUUUUCAAGUCGCACCAUGCAUUGGACUUCCCGACACAUCCCUUCUGUGCCCCAGAUCAUCACCUGUGACCUGUAUGCUUGGCCACCAGCCCACAGAAUGUGUACGACUAUCCUUGGAACGCAGUCAACUAAUCAGAACCCUGUGCCCAGAAAACCGACAUCCGUUCCCCAAGCUAUCAGCUGUGAAUAGCUCCUCAUCUAGGGAUGAGGGCUGAAGCAUUGCGAGUCUCGAGGGUAAGGGGUAUGAUAUGGAAGUCUCAUUUUCGGCUGAGCGCUCUUCAAACACCUGGUGUCUUCAAGUUGAUUGGUUGUAAAUUUCUGCGCUGCCCACCGCCCACUGCCCACUGCCCACCCCCAAAGGAGUCUCUGAUGAGGACUGAGAGCUCCGCUGAUCCAUGGACACAGAGCCGUGCACUUAGAGGGCUGCUUGACACGAUGUCCAUUUGGCAGAACAAUAGUAGUAGCUUCACCCAGGGGCUUAUGAGUGCUCUAGAUAAAAUACAUUUUUUUCACCACCCAAUAAAAUACAUGUUAAUUCACACUAUUUAAGGACUUUUCU